UAUCUCCUUUCCAUAACGAUGCACUAUCGAUGUUAGAUCACUUAUUUGAAUGAGAUAAUUCAUUGUUCACUAUGCCCUAUAACAAGGUAUUGAUAAAGUCUGGUACAAAACUGGUGCAGACUACAAUUUGGUCUAUCUCUGGAUAUGUAAUUUCUUGUUAUAUGUCAUGUUUCUUGUUCAAAGUUCUUGUCAACUCAACAACUCUCAUGGUAUUAACACAAAUUCGGACAUAUUACUGGUCAAAUUUGUUCCAUGCUUUUGUUAUCAGCAUUUGUUAUUAUGAUUUCAUAAUUUUGAUAUAUUUUUUCUUUUCAGGAAAUUGUGUUAUCAUUUAGAAUUUGAUGGUCCAUUUUUAAUUUUGAAUUUGUUUGAUGUGAAGUAUUUGGUUGGUUGAUUGGUUUUCUUAACCUGGAAGUUAUGAGCUUGUGCUAGUUUAUUAGUUUUCAGAUUAUUAUUUGAUAUCUAAUUAUCAUGGAGGAUUCUAUGAGCUCUCUGUAAUUUUUAAAGGCACUUAUUACUUACAUAAAUCAACUCCCUUUCUUAGUCUCUCUAGAUUUAUGUUAUCUAACUGCAACAAAGUUGCAUCAGUAGGAAAGGCCACAUAUGCAAUGGGUUUGGCAUGAGGUUCAACACUUAUCAAGGCAAUACUUGAGGUUCAAGAAAAAUGGAACUCAUGAGCAGUUUAGAAAGUGGUGACACUACUAGGAGUUGGUUUUCUCCUAUAAAUUUGGUUUUUUCAUCUUAUUCUUCCUUUCAAAUCUAAUAACUCAUUCUUAAUUAACGGUUAUUGAUAAGUUGUAUCCUAAACAUGAUGCAUAAACAUAAAAGGUAAAAAAAAUUGUUGUCAUUCUUCAUGUACUCCUAAAAAAUGGAAGAAUGAAAUUCUUCUGAAAAUAAUUGGUACUUCAUCUUCUUUAAAAGGCGUGCUGCUUUUGUUGUAGUUUACAGUUUUAGUUUAAUAUGCAUUCAUAUAUGCACCUAGAAGAAACAAAAAUGCUGAAGGUACUUUGCUACGCACCUAGAAGAAAAAAAUUGCUAAAGGUCCUUUGCUACGCACCUAGAAGAAAAAAAUUGCUAAAGGUACUUUGCUACUGUUUAAUGGGACUCGUCAAUCUUUAUGCUAAAAAGUAUAAAUACUUAGCUAAAACUGAAUACUGUGCUUGUUUCCUGCCUAAGUAGGACACCGAGCAAACUAAAUGAAUCUUCUGUUGUAGGACUGCCUCUGUAUUUUUGAGUCCCUUCUUUUCUUAGGACUCUGAGGGAAACAGAAACUGGAACUUUGGCCAAACCUUUUUAAUUUUCACUUCUGCUCUGUAAUUGAGUAGAUAUCCAAGAAGACCCGAUGAUACUGAUUAUAGAGAUAACAUAGUGAUGGAGCCAUAAUGCCAAAGGACAAAGAUGAUUCACAAAACCCAAAAGCUCAUCCGAUUAAGCUGUCUUAGGUGGAGCAAAAUCAAGCAUGCAUAGCUGUCUUUGUGCUUAUUACUUGUGCAAUGUUCUGCAACACAUCCUGCCUGUUGCCAUCCAAGCAAGCAUAGCUAUCUUAGGCAGAGCAAAAUGAAGUUCUGAGGAUCUCAGCCUUCUCAUAAAAGCCAAAAAAUAAAUGUGGUUUAUUGUUUUCAUGGCUCCUUUUCUCUUUUUUUUUGGUUAAUGGGUGUAGAUCCCCUUUAACAUACUUCUUUGCUUCUCCAUAUUUUGCCCUAAAAUUUUCUUUGUGCUUAUUACGUGUGCAAUGUUCUGCAACAUAUCCUGCCUGUUUCCAUCCAAGCCUGCAUCGCUGAGGGCUGUUUAGCCAGAAACCAGAGCUGUUAAGUUUCAUGUUUGUACUGGCCAUCAUUCUCUAUUUUAUUGUCUGUUAUAUAAAUGCUGCCAGAUAGAGCCUCCACCGUCGAGCCUCUAGCUGGUUACGAUUGAAGUGCAGCUUUGCUAGUUUUCAUGUUUGUACUGGCCAUCAUUCUCUAGAAUCGAAGUGCAGCAUUUGGUAUAGGGUUAAAUUUUUCCGGCCAAGUUUGCCUGGCCCAACCUUGUUUUUGUGGUACUCUUUGCCUUUUUGCAGGGAAAAUAUAUAGUAAAGGCAUUUACUAGGGGUAGAAAGAGAGGGUUUUCAUUCCACCUCCUCCCAUGAUUCUUAUAAAAUUAC
rnacentral:lncRNA from 1 species